CAUACCAUAUUGGUCGACCGGUGUAUGGAACGGCAAAUACUUUGCCUCAAUUCCAGAGAUGACAGCCGCAGCAGACUGUUUAAUUCAACAUUUGUCGACAAUGGCAAAGAGAAGUACUUGUUACAUGACUUAGUCGAUGAAAAUAUGGUAACUCGUAAUGUAAUUGACAUUUCCGGUCAGUCACGGCAGUUCAUUUGGUUCGAAGGCUCAAAGGAUUGGACAAUGAUCUAUGCUCAACCAAAAUCUCAAUGUGAUGUCUAUGCAAUUUGUGGACCUUUCACAAUUUGCAACGAUAAUGCCCUUCCACACUGCAAUUGUAUGGAGGGCUUCGCCAUAACAUCCCCCAAGGAUUGGGAACUAGAAGAUCGAGCGGGUGGGUGCUCAAGAAAAACUCAGUUAGACUGCAUUAGCAACAAAAGCACAACACAUACCACAGACAAGUUCUACUCUAUGCCAUGUCUUAGGUUACCCCAAAAUGUCCCAAAAGUAGAAGCUGCUACAAGUGCGAACAAGUGUGAAGAAGUUUGCCUGAAUAAUUGCUCUUGCACCACCUACUCCUUCGGCGACAGCAGAUGUUCUAUCUGGAAUAACGAAUUGCUCAACAUAAGACAACUACAAUGUAAUGACACUACCAAUUCAAAUGGAGAAACUCUUUACCUUCGACUUUCUGCUAAAGGUGUUCACAGCUUGAAAAGCAGCAAAAGAGGGAUUGCCAUUGGAGUUGUAACUGGCACAUGCAUUUCUGUU
rnacentral:lncRNA from 1 species